UCCUCUUAGCCUUUGGGUGGUAGAGGUUGGAGGACCAAGGGUUCCAGGCCAACUGUACUACAUAAGGCUCUGACUUAAAAAGGAGAAGAAUCACUAACAAGUCAAUAAACUUAAUCAUACGUCUUUUAUUUAUGACUCAUGAGUCACAACACCACAUCCUGGAGUUUGCCUUGUAGAAAAGGGGUCUGGGGCAGGAGAGAUGGCUCAGCGGUUAAGAGCACUGACUACUCUCCCAGAGGUCCUGAGUUCAAAUCCCAGCAACCACGUGGUGGCUCACAACCAUCUGUAAUGGAAUCCGAUGACCUCAUCUGCUGUGUCUGAGGACAGCGACAGUGCACUCAUAUAUAAUAAAUAAAUCUUUACAAAAAAAGAAAGAAAGAAAAAAAAGAAGAAGAGGGGUCUGAAGAAGUAGAAACAAAAUAAGCAGAUUUGCUUGGAGGAGACAGGGUGUGGUUCAGCAGUGACAGCAUGAGUGACUGUUCCCAGCAUCAAACUAUCAAUCAGCCAGUCAAAAGGGUGCAGUGGCACACUCUUUAAAUCCCAGGACGCUGAGGUAGAGACAGGUUAGUCCCAAGCUGGUCAGGGCUGCAUAAUGAGACCCUCUCAAAAAACAAAAACAAAAAACAAAAAACAAACAAACAAACAAAAAAACAACCAACAACAAAAAUAAGUUAAUUGGGCUUGUACUGGUUAGUCCAAAGAGGAUUUCCUAAUCAUAACAGCUAAACUAGCCUACUCGGGAUUACAGCUAUUUCUCUUUUAUUAAUAUUGUUUUUGCUAUUAUUAUCAUCAUCAUCAGUGGAGAUUGGUGAACAACUUGGCCCCAUUCAGCGUGAGUGAGUGACUUAUGUUUGCCUUAGUUGUGUGCCCGGUACCAAGAGCCAAGAGCCUCCCGUAAAUUUUAACGCUUGAAAGUCAGUUCACAUUCCCUUCUGGGGAUAAACUGUUUAUAAAGCUCAGUUAAUGAUGAUGGGGGCGACUCUGGUUUUCUUGCCAACUAGCUUUGGUUUUGUAAUUUUGUUUUUGUUUUCCUCUCUUUCACUUCCUAGACGAAGUCCUUUCAGAAUGGGCAGGGAGACGUACAGAUGAGGAAAUUCACUUCAGCAGGGAAUCUGCUAAGCGUGGCAGGAUUCCUGCUCUGGACUCUCAAAGCCUCCCGUUAAUGGAAACAGCAGGUUAACCUGGUCUGACCAACAGGAAGCCACGUGACCCAAUCUCUGUACCACGGAUGCCUUGAACGUGCAGCUUAGACCUCGAGAGAGACUCGGGGAGACAAUUGCCAUUAUCAGAGGGACGAACCCAGUCAUGGAGAGUGUGCUCCUCAGCCAGGGUCCUCCUGCACGAAAGCAACCGAAGCAGAAAACUGAGGGUCAAUGUGGCGAGAACAAAGCGGAAACUCAGUCUCCAGGAGAAAACCAGAUCUGAUGAGCACUCACGGGCUGGGGAAAGGCUCGGUGGGUGAAGUGCCUGUCCUGCAAACAUGGGGACCUGCGUUCAGAUCUCCACCCCGGUGUCAGCAGCCAGCAAGGGGGCUGCAGCUGUAACCCCAGUGCUGGGAUGGGAGCCGAGGCCUGUCCAUCACUAGAGCUCAGUGGCCAGGCAAUCUAACCAAUCUGUGAGCUCAGGAUUUAGUGAGAGGGAGGAGGGAGACAUAAACCAAAUAAAUAAAUGUAAUUGUAAAUAAAUAAA